rnacentral:hammerhead_ribozyme from 1 species
AUCUAGCUCACGAGUCCCAAGUAGGACGAAACGCGUGUCCUGGAU